rnacentral:rRNA from 1 species
GACGAACGCUGGCGGCGUGCUUAACACAUGCAAGUCGAACGGAAAGGCCCUGCUUUUGUGGGGUGCUCGAGUGGCGAACGGGUGAGUAACACGUGAGUAACCUGCCCUUGACUUUGGGAUAACUUCAGGAAACUGGGGCUAAUACCGGAUAGGAGCUCCUGCUGCAUUGUGGGGGUUGGAACGUUUCGGCGGGUGGGGAUGGACUCGCGGCUUAUCAGCUUGUUGGUGGGGUAGUGGCUUACCAAGGCUUUGACGGGUAGCCGGCCUGAGAGGGUGACCGGCCACAUUGGGACUGAGAUACGGCCCAGACUCCUACGGGAGGCAGCAGUGGGGAAUAUUGCACAAUGGGCGGAAGCCUGAUGCAGCAACGCCGCGUGCGGGAUGACGGCCUUCGGGUUGUAAACCGCUUUCGCCUGUGACGAAGCGUGAGUGACGGUAAUGGGUAAAGAAGCACCGGCUAACUACGUG